rnacentral:misc_RNA from 1 species
GAUGAAGAACGCAGCGAAAUGCGAUAAGUAAUGUGAAUUGCAGAAUUCAGUGAAUCAUCGAAUCUUUGAACGCACCUUGCGCCCUUUGGCUAUUCUGAAGGGCAUGCCUGUUUGAGUAUCAUGAACACCUCAACUCUCAUGGUUUGCCAUGAUGAGCUUGGACUUUGGGGGUCUUGCUGGCCUACGGUCGGCUCCUCUCAAAUGAAUCAGCUUGCCAGUGUUUGGUGGCAUCACGGGGGUGAUAACUAUCUACGCUUGUGGUUUCCCGCCAGGUAACCUUCAGUGAUGGAGGUUCGCUGGGGCUCAUAAAUGUCCCUCCACAGUGAGGACAGCUUUUGAACGUUUGAUCUCAAAUCAGGUAGGACUACCCGCUGAACUUAAGCAUAUCAAUAAGCGGAGGA